rnacentral:rRNA from 1 species
GAUGAACGCUGGCGGCGUGCCUAAUACAUGCAAGUCGAGCGAACAGACGAGGAGCUUGCUCCUCUGACGUUAGCGGCGGACGGGUGAGUAACACGUGGCUAACCUACCUAUAAGACUGGGAUAACUUCGGGAAACCGGAGCUAAUACCGGAUAAUAUAUUGAACCGCAUGGUUCAAUAGUGAAAGACGGUUUUGCUGUCACUUAUAGAUGGAUCCGCGCCGCAUUAGCUAGUUGGUAAGGUAACGGCUUACCAAGGCAACGAUGCGUAGCCGACCUGCGCGGGUGAUCCGCCAGACUGGAACUGAGACACGGUCCAGACUCCUACGGGAGGCCGCAGUAGGGAAUCUUCCGCAAUGGGCGAAAGCCUGACGGAGCAACGCCGCGUGAGUGAUGAAGGUCUUCGGAUCGUAAAACUCUGUUAUUAGGGAAGAACAAAUGUGUAAGUAACUAUGCACGUCUUGACGGUACCUAAUCAGAAAGCCACGGCUAACUACGUG